GGCGAACCGGUGCGACCCGUGCUCUUAACGAGCGUGUGUGCUGCGUCGAGUUUGUCAUCCUUCCAGAGAGCUGCGUCUACCAUUCACUUGGCCGGACGUACGUGAUCUGGAUCGAUUACUUUGAAAAAAUUAGAGUGUUUAAAGCAGGCUUACGCUGUGAAUACAUUAGCAUGGAAUAAUAAUAUAGGACUUCGGUUCUAUUUUGUUGGUUUCUAGGACUGAAGUA
rnacentral:rRNA from 1 species